GACGAACGCUGGCGGCGUGCUUAACACAUGCAAGUCGAACGGAAAGGCCCUGCUUUUGUGGGGUGCUCGAGUGGCGAACGGGUGAGUAACACGUGAGUAACCUGCCCUUGACUUUGGGAUAACUUCAGGAAACUGGGGCUAAUACCGGAUAGGAGCUCCUGCUGCAUGGUGGGGGUUGGAAAGUUUCGGCGGUUGGGGAUGGACUCGCGGCUUUUCAGCUUGUUGGUGGGGUAGUGGCUUACCAAGGCUUUGACGGGUAGCCGGCCUGAGAGGGUGACCGGCCACAUUGGGACUGAGAUACGGCCCAGACUCCUACGGGAGGCAGCAGUGGGGAAUAUUGCACAAUGGGCGGAAGCCUGAUGCAGCAACGCCGCGUGCGGGAUGACGGCCUUCGGGUUGUAAACCGCUUUCGCCCGUGACGAAGCGUGAGUGACGGUAAUGGGUAAAGAAGCACCGGCUAACUACGUG
rnacentral:rRNA from 1 species